GACGAACGCUGGCGGCGUGCUUAACACAUGCAAGUCGAACGGUAAGGCCCUUCGGGGUACGACGAGUGGCGAACGGGUGGAGUAACACGUGGGUGAUCUGCCCUGCACUUCGGGAUAAGCUUGGGAAACUGGGUCUAAUACCGGAUAGGACCACGGUCUGCAUGGAUUGUGGUGGAAAGCUUUUGCGGUGUGGGAUGGGCCCGCGGCCUAUCAGCUUGUUGGUGGGGUGAUGGCCUACCAAGGCGACGACGGGUAGCCGGCCUGAGAGGGUGUCCGGCCACACUGGGACUGAGAUACGGCCCAGACUCCUACGGGAGGCAGCAGUGGGGAAUAUUGCACAAUGGGCGCAAGCCUGAUGCAGCGACGCCGCGUGGGGGAGUGACGGCCUUCGGUU
rnacentral:rRNA from 1 species